UUUGGGAAAAAUACUCUGGCAGAAAAGAGUCUAAACUGUGGAUAGACAUCAGAGUCUGACAUCUGUCUGUUUAUUUCCAUAAGUGAAGUUUGUAUCAACUGACUGAAGGAUCAGUGUUAAAGGAUAACACUACAAUGAAAACAGCUGUGAGUUGUUUCUUUUGAAAAUGACUGCUUGAUGAUAAAGUUUCAAACAACUAUGGAGUGAGUGGAUGUUCUAGAGAGACUAAUUCUUCAAAGAAUGAAUGAUCAUCAUCAUCCUUAUAUUGGAAU
rnacentral:lncRNA from 1 species